rnacentral:lncRNA from 1 species
AAACACACAUUAGAACUUAAAGGUUCCCGUUGAGUACAACAGACGUAAGGGGUGCUAAUACCUUCCCCUUACGUAAUCCACUCCCGAACCCGAAUAUGGUUGCGACGACCAUUAUUCUAUUAUUCAAUAGGUUUUAUCGAUAUUUUCCUAUUCCUUUAUUGGGAUAAAUGAAGUUCGGUGACGACUCUGUUCGAACGUAAUUUUUUCCGCGACCAUCGCGAGGAAUCAUAUUUUUCGAGAUGCGACAGAUGGCGACUCUGCUGGG